AUGGAGCUCUCACUCGUCUCCGCCAAGGCCUCACCCCGCGCCGCCGCGGCCGCCGUCUCCUCCUCCCCGCUCCUCCCCUCCGCCACGCGGAGCCGCCCCCGCGGCCGGCGGUUCCGCUGCGUCGCCGCGGCGUCCAAGGGGGAGGAGGUGUUCGGCGGCCGGAAGGAGCUCACGGGCGUGCAGCCGCUGGUGGAGGCAUUGCCGCCCGCGGGGCGGGCGGUGUUGGAGCUCGCGGUCGUUGCCGCGGCGGCGGCGGGGGGGUACAGCCUCGGGACACGCUACGGCGGCACGCGGACCACGGCCGUCGCGGGCGCGGCCGUGCUCGGGGCGGCCACCCUUGCGGGGGCCGCCGCUGUGAACUCCGUCGUGCCGGGGGUCGCCGCCGUGGGGCUCCACAACUACGUCGCAGGCUCUGACGACCCCACCGCGCUGGAGGCUAGUGAGGUGGCGAACAUCGCGAGCAAAUAUGGAGUCAGUACACAAGAUGCAGCAUUCAAAUCAGAGCUCUGUGACCUGUAUGCCAGCUUUGUUUACUCAGUACUUCCUCCAGGACAUGAAGAUCUCAAAGGUACUGAGGUUGAAGCUAUUAAAAAGUUUAAAAAAGCUCUUGGACUCGAUGAUGUGGAUGCUGCAAAUAUGCACCUGGCGAUUGGUAGACGCUUAUACAGAGAGAGACUCGAUGCAUUCCAAAAGUUAAUUUUUGUGUCAAAUCUUGUCUUCGGAGAUGCAUCAGACUUCAUACUUCCAUGGAAACAUCUUUUCGGGAUCACGGACUAUCAGAUCGAUAUUGCUAUGCGGGAGAAUGCCAAAAGUCUGUACGCGUUAGAGCUCAAGUCUAUUGGAAGAGGUCUUGACAUAGGCACGCUCAUUGAAGUGAGGAGAGUACAACUUGCAUAUAAACUUUUUGAUGAGGUUGCUGCUGACAUGUUCAAGGAGCAUGCGAAGAAGUUGAUUCAAGAAAACAUUUCAUCUGCUUUAUCCAUAUUGAAGUCCAAUACCAGUGCAGGGAACAUUCCCACAGAGGUUAUUAAUGAGGUGAAUAGUAUCCUCGCAUUCAAUAGGUUGCUAACAGUUCUAAGCAAGUUUCCUCAAGGCGAGCGAUUUGCACGUGGGCUUGGACCUAUCUCGUUAGCUGGAGAUUUUGAUCAUGAUAAGAUGGUUGGUGAUCUAAAGAUACUCUAUGCGGCCUAUACAACAGAAGUACUUUCAGAUGGACUUCUUGAUGAUGAGAAGCUUGGUCCUUUAAAUGAGCUGAGGAAUAUAUUUGGGCUUGGGAAGCGUGAGGCAGAAGCAAUCAUAGAAGGAGUAAUGUCAGAUGUUAAAUCUCAAGUACCAGCAUGA
rnacentral:rRNA from 1 species